GACGAACGCUGGCGGCGUGCUUAACACAUGCAAGUCGAACGGUAAGGCUCCAGCUUGCUGGGGUACACGAGUGGCGAACGGGUGAGUAACACGUGGGUGACCUGCCCUGCACUUCGGGAUAAGCCUGGGAAACUGGGUCUAAUACCGGAUAGGACCAUGGUGUGGAUACUGUGGUGGAAAGUUUUUUCGGUGUGGGAUGGGCCCGCGGCCUAUCAGCUUGUUGGUGGGGUAAUGGCCUACCAAGGCGGCGACGGGUAGCCGGCCUGAGAGGGUGGACGGCCACAUUGGGACUGAGACACGGCCCAGACUCCUACGGGAGGCAGCAGUGGGGAAUAUUGCACAAUGGGCGGAAGCCUGAUGCAGCGACGCCGCGUGGGGGAUGACGGCCUUCGGGUUGUAAACUCCUUUCACCAUCAACGAAGGGUUUCUGACGGUAGAUGGAGAAGAAGCACCGGCUAACUACGUG
rnacentral:rRNA from 1 species